rnacentral:rRNA from 1 species
UACGGAGGGUGCAAGCGUUAUCCGGAUUCACUGGGUUUAAAGGGUGCGUAGGCGGACAGGUAAGUCAGUGGUGAAAUCUCUGGGCUUAACCCAGAAACUGCCGUUGAUACUAUUUGUCUUGAAUAUCCUGGAGGUAGGCGGAAUAUGUCAUGUAGCGGUGAAAUGCUUAGAUAUCUGGAGGAAUACCGGUGGCGAAGGCGGCAUCCUGGACCAACACUGACGCUGAGGAGCGAAAGCCAGGGGAGCAAACGGG